rnacentral:rRNA from 1 species
UUGCAAGUCAGAUGUGAAAGCCUUCUGUUCGACGGGAGAAUUGCAUCUGAAACUGCUAAUCUUGAGUAUAGGAUGGGGGAAUGGAACUUCUGGUGGAGCGGUGAAAUGCGUAGAUAUCAGAAGGAACGCCGGCGGCGAAAGCGAUUCUCUGGCCUAUUACUGACACUCAGUGUGCGAAAGCUAGGGGAGCAAACGGGAUUAGAUACCCCGGUAGUCCUAGCCGUAAACGAUGGGCACUAAGUAGAGGGGAUUACCUAUGUUCUCUCUGCCGUAGCUAACGCAUUAAGUGCCCCGCCUGGGGAGUACGGCCGCAAGGCUAAAACUCAAAAGAAUUGACGGGGGCUCGCACAAGCGGUGGAGCAUGUGGCUUAAUUCGAUGCAACGCGAAAAACCUUACCGGGGCUUGACAUGAUAGAAGUAGGAACCUGAAAGGGGGACGAACGGUAUCCAGUCCGUAGCUAUUACAGGUGUUGCAUGGCUGUCGUCAGCUCGUGUCGUGAGACGUUGGGUUAAGUCCCCUAACGAGCGAAACCCUUGUUUUUAGUUACCAGCGGGUUAUGCCGGGUACUCUAGGAAGACUGCCGUCGUCAAGACGGAGGAAGGUGGGGAUGACGUCAAGUCAUCAUGGCCCUUAUACCCCGGGCUGCACACGUGCUACAAUGGUCGGUACAGACGGAAGCGAAG